GAUGAACGCUGACAGAAUGCUUAACACAUGCAAGUCGAUGGGGAAGUGGUGCUUGCACCAUGGUAACCAUGGCGGACGGGUGAGUAACGCGUAAGGAACUUGCCUGCGGGACUGGGAUAACAGCAGGAAACUGCUGAUAAUACCGGAUAAGGUCAUUAAGCUGCAUAGCUUAGUGAUGAAAGGAGACGCCUGCGGAGAGCCUUGCGUCCUAUUAGCUAGUUGGAGGGGUAACGGCCCACCAAGGCGAAGAUAGGUAGCCGGCCUGAGAGGGUGGACGGCCACAAGGGGACUGAGAUACGGCCCUUACUCCUACGGGAGGCGGCAGUGGGGAAUAUUGGACAAUGGGGGCAACCCUGAUCCAGCAAUUCUGUGUGCACGAAGACGGUUUUCGGAUUGUAAAGUGCUUUCAGCAGGGAAGAAGGAAGUGACGGUACCUGCAGAAGAAGCGACGGCUAAAUACGUG
rnacentral:rRNA from 1 species